rnacentral:rRNA from 1 species
AUUGAACGCUGGCGGCAGGCUUAACACAUGCAAGUCGAGCGGAGUGAUGGUGCUUGCACUAUCACUUAGCGGCGGACGGGUGAGUAAUGCUUAGGAAUCUGCCUAUUAGUGGGGGACAACAUCUCGAAAGGGAUGCUAAUACCGCAUACGUCCUACGGGAGAAAGCAGGGGAUCACUUGUGACCUUGCGCUAAUAGAUGAGCCUAAGUCGGAUUAGCUAGUUGGUGGGGUAAAGGCCUACCAAGGCGACGAUCUGUAGCGGGUCUGAGAGGAUGAUCCGCCACACUGGGACUGAGACACGGCCCAGACUCCUACGGGAGGCAGCAGUGGGGAAUAUUGGACAAUGGGGGGAACCCUGAUCCAGCCAUGCCGCGUGUGUGAAGAAGGCCUUAUGGUUGUAAAGCACUUUAAGCGAGGAGGAGGCUCUUUUGGUUAAUACCCAAGAUGAGUGGACGUUACUCGCAGAAUAGGCACCGGCUAACUCUGUGCCAGCCGCCGCUGUAACAC